UAAGAAGCAACAUUGCAGUCAUGGCCUAGA
rnacentral:piRNA from 1 species